GACACUAGGAUAAAAGACUUAAAGGAACUCUCAAAAGGGGUAGGGGCGGAAGUGUGGCUCAAGGAGCACAUCCCUAAGGACCGGUCCAGGAUGGAAUCCCCCCUGACAGGUAACUUCUGGGCUUCCCCGUCUAGGGGACGGAGGAAGGCCAAGAAUGCUCUGAUUACGCCAAUGAGAAAGGCCAGCAGCGAAGUGCUCCCCCUCCUCGACAGAAGUCCCAGACACUCACGUUCGCUCUCUUGGCCGCUUGCAUCGCCAUCUUGGCAGGCUGAUGAGGUUACCGCAGCAAAUACGUGAAUUCCUCUACACUCCUCCGGAGCUCGCUCAGCUUCAAGUGCAACAAGGCGUCAGACGCAAGACAUCAACGUCCAGACCCCGCCGGAAGCUGUUCUAACACACCGGAAUACCACCGUCUUACGCCGAAACGUGCUGACGUAGUCUCCCCUCAGGAAAAGACUCCGGGGCAAAACAGGGCUGAGAGACUUAAGAGGCCGGAAGGUUGAAAGGCGGGACCUGGGCUUAAGAAGGGGCGGUGUUCCGGUCGCGGAGGCCCAGAGCAGCGGAAGCUGGCAGAAGCGGGUGGAGCCUGAGGAGAGCUGUGAGAGCUGGGUCUGCGCCUGGCAGCUGCUCCAAGCGUUUCUGCCAUUUGAAGCCUGUGCUGGGAGCCAGCUGUGACCAGAGGAACAGCUCCAGCCAUCUGGGCCUCUCACUGUUGUGGCCUCUCCCGUUGCGGAGCAAAGGCACCAGACGCGCGGGCCCAGCAGCCAUGGCUCACGGGCCCAGUGGCUCUGCGACAUGUGGGAUCCUCCCAGACCGCGGCACGAACCCGUGUCCCCUGCAUCGGCAGGCAGACUCUCAACCACUGCGCCGCCAGGGAAGCCCAAGAUAGGUAGCUUUUUUUUCCUCCCCUGCUGGGGGACGGCAGGAGGGCAAAAAAAAAAAAAA